AUUUUGGAGGGUAGUAUAUAUUAUCCAAGCAAAUCAUUUAAAUUGUACUCAAGGUAUAUAAGUGAGCAUUGUUAGUAUAUUUGAAUGGGUACAUUCUACCUACACUACCUAAUUUCUGACAGUACCAACUGAAACACAAACAAUCUGGGUCAAAUCUACUUGAAGACAUUAGGCCCACACUGCCCCUUUGCGCAUGCGCAUGCGGUGAUUCUUGGCUGCAGGCCAGAGGAGCGGUUCUCUUUCGCGCCUCCCUCCUCCUGCUGUGUGGAAAUGUUGGAAGAGAAUUCGUAGUGGAGUGGAGGUGGUGACCCUCAGCCCACGUGUCUUCAAGGAGAGAUGGUUUACUCAAUGAGGCUCAGAUGAAGGAGGAGUUCCACACAUAACAACUCUUUCACUGGAAGAGACGUUGAUGCUGAAACUGGAUGGGUCCACUAACACCACUCGCUCCAGCUGAUGCGUGCCAAAGAGGAGAUGCUGGCUCCAGGAUGCGUCCUCUUCUGAGCGCCAUUGAUGAGGCCCAGAGUGUUGGGAAAAGAGAUGCAGUGGCCAGGUGCCUGAUUGAAGACCUAGGGAACGCCAAGAAGACCUUUUUUCAAGACAGCAGGACGAGCAUGACAACGUCGUGGACCAAACUGUGAAGGUGCUUGUGAUCCGUGAUGCCAGGGACCAGCAGAUGUGUCUAUUGUCAGAGAGGGAGACAGAGGUUUGUGCGGGAACCAAACAAAGGCAUUCGCAUUGUUGAUGGAAUUCAUCUCUACGCCCUCAACCUGGAAUACCCCAACAAGCUCAAAUACACAUUUGAGGUAUUCUAAAAACUGUUUUUGGAGCUUGAUGGAAACAAGCUGCUCAAACAGGUCCAGAGCCUCAAAUAAACAAUUUGUUCUGAAGUGGAUGUUGACUUGUUUUAGUGCCGAGUGACACAAACACAACAUAAUGAGAUGUGGAAUGUAAUGAUGUGGAGAAACCUUGUUCUGUUAAAAGUGGACUGUUUACUGGCACGUAAGGUUUUCAUAGUUGAGUAAAUUGCACUUGGAAGAUUAUGUUAAAAUGCUCUUUACUGUUAAAACAAUGUGAUUGUGACUAUUUUGAAGAUUCUGCUCAGUGUUAACAAUUGAAAUGCAUUUAACUGUUUAAAUCAUCUCAAUGGCCAUAUUGCACUUAUACAUUUGGUCAAUUAAAAAAACAUGAUCAAUAA